rnacentral:rRNA from 1 species
GACGAACGCUGGCGGCGUGCUUAACACAUGCAAGUCGAGCGGUAAGGCCCUUUCGGGGGUACGACGAGCGGCGAACGGGUAGGAGUAACAACGUGGGUGGACCUCGCCCUCCAGCUCUGGGAGUAAGCCCGGGAAACCGUAGGGUCGUAAUACUGGAUAUGACUCCACGGUGCAUGCCGUGGGGUGGGAAAGCCUUGUGCGGCUGAGGAUGGGCCCGCGGCCUAUCAGCUUGUUGGUGGGGUGGAGGCCUACCAAGGCGACG